AAUCAACGCUGGCGGCGUGCCUAACACAUGCAAGUCGAACGCGAAAGGGACUUCGGUCCUGAGUAGAGUGGCGAACGGGUGAGUAACGCGUGGGUGACCUACCCUCGAGUGGGGGAUAACGUUCCGAAAGGGACGCUAAUACCGCAUGACAUUCCGGGUUUGAAGACCUGGAAAUCAAAGCCGGGGACCGCAAGGCCUGGCGCUAGAGGAGGGGCCCGCGUCUGAUUAGCUAGUUGGCGGGGUAACGCCCACCAAGGCGACGAUCAGUAGCCGGCCUGAGAGGGCGGACGGCCACACUGGGACUGAGACACGGCCCAGACUCCUACGGGAGGCAGCAGUGGGGAAUUGUUCGCAAUGGGCGCAAGCCUGACGACGCAACGCCGCGUGGAGGAUGAAGGUCUUCGGAUCGUAAACUCCUGUUGAUCGGGACGAAAAGCUUCGACCUAAUACGUCGAAGACUGACGGUACCGGUUGAGGAAGCCACGGCUAACUCUGUGCCAGCCGCCGCGGU
rnacentral:rRNA from 1 species